rnacentral:rRNA from 1 species
GAGUUUGAUCUUGGCUCAGGAUGAACGCUGGCGGCGUGCCUAAUUACAUGCAAGUCGAGCGAACGGACGAGAAGCUUGCUUCUCUGGAUGUUAGCGGCGGACGGUGAGUAACACGUGGAUAACCUACCUAUAAGACUGGGAUAACUUCGGGAAACCGGAGCUAAUACCGGAUGAUAUUUUGAACCGCAUGGUUCAAAAGUGAAAGACGGUCUUGCUGUCACUUAUAGAUGGAUCCGCGCUGCAUUAGCUAGUUGGUAAGGUAACGGCUUACCAAGGCAACGAUGCAUAGCCGACCUGAGAGGGUGAUCGGCCACACUGGAACUGAGACACGGUCCAGACUCCUACGGGAGGCAGCAGUAGGGAAUCUUCCGCAAUGGGCGAAAGCCUGACGGAGCAACGCCGCGUGAGUGAUGAAGGUCUUCGGAUCGUAAAACUCUGUUAUUAGGG